rnacentral:rRNA from 1 species
AAAUGAAUUGACGGGGGCCCGCACAAGCGGAGGAACAUGUGGUUUAAUUCGAUGAUACGCGAGGAACCUUACCCGGGUUUAAAUGUAGAUUGCAUAAAGCAGAGAUGUUUUUUUCCUUCACGGGACUAUUUACAAGGUGCUGCAUGGUUGUCGUCAGCUCGUGCCGUGAGGUGUCGGCUUAAGUGCCAUAACGAGCGCAACCCUUGCUGUUAGUUGCUAGCAGGUCAUGCUGAGAACUCUAACAGGACUGCCGUCGCAAGGCGAGAGGAAGGGGGGGAUGACGUCAAAUCAGCACGGCCCUUACAUCCGGGGCUACACACGUGUUACAAUGGUAGGUACAGAGGGCUGCUACACUGCGAAGUGAUGCUAAUCUCGAAAGCCUAUCGUAGUUCGGAUUGGAGUCUGCAACCCGACUCCAUGAAGCUGGAUUCGCUAGUAAUCGCAUAUCAGCCAUGAUGCGGUGAAUACGUUCCCGGGCCUUGUACACACCGCCCGU